rnacentral:lncRNA from 1 species
UGUGAACGUACUUUAUUUAGAUGUGUGAAGGUGUGAAAAAGUGGAGUUAAACCUAUCGUUAACUGAUAAAAAGCUGGAGGUAUGUUUAGAGUGUCAAUUCGUCAUGUGGUUUUUCUGCUUUAAAAGACCUUGUCUCAGCCUAUCUGUCCACUAUUCCCUGAUGUUUUUUAGCUAGCAUUUGUUAGCUAGCUUAUCAGUUCGUUUUUUCCUUCGAUCUUCUAAAACAGACCAACGGUGCAUUUUUGUUUUUAACUCCUUUGGGGGAAAGCAAGAGGAAAACAUCUUACAGCCAUGUCUACAAAGGAAAUCUCAGGUACCCUUCCCGCUCAAACCUUCAUGCUCGACCGUUGCUUGUGAUGAGGCAGCGUCUACGGGGGUAACCGAGGGCCCUAAUUAUGCUAUAGAGGUACCAAGCUUUGUAUCUAACUGUAUAUACUCAACUAACAUGAUAACAAUCUUUAUCUAUAUAUAUUAAAACUGUUUCCCAUGUGUUUUCAGACGCUAAAUGCGGUAGCAGUGUUGCAGAGAGUGCAUCCUGUGGCAGAGGAGUCAUUCACACCUUCAUUGGAGGCGUUAGAUUUCCCAGAGAGGCACGGUGAUGAGCAGCGACAAGCCGGUGGAGUUUUACAACGGGGGGACGUGGCAGAUUUCCUGGAUGAAGGUAGCCCUUGAAGGUGAAAGCAAAGAAUCAUCAGAGACAGACCACACAUCGAUUUCCCCUAAUCAGGAACCCUUCCAGUGUCGUGGGGAUGAAGGUGAUAUAGAAUGUGCAUGUAUGCGUUUUAUUCCAGACACACCCAUCAGCCAGAGACCAGGAGUUUCCUAUAAUCACACAGUCUAUGGAGCAGACAAAGUGUGCCCCAGGGCUCAUGCAUCAGCUGACGCCUCUGUAAAUACAGAGGAUAUUGAUGAGGCAUUUGAAUGUGGACAAAUAUUGGAUUGUUUUAGUACCAACAUCAGUUUUGAAACAGCUGGCCCCAUAAACCGUCCUGAGCAGACAACAUUAUUACAGGGUGAGUCACUCUUCGAAUUCUGUGCUGAAACUACACGUCGACACACUGCGUCAGAUGCGAUACAUGACCAAAUAGAAUCCAAAGUUGAUAAUUUACAAAAAAACAUCAAUAGUCUGGUGAAUACAGUGGGCGCCUUGCAGACCACUACUACAAAGUUGUUUGGCCUAGUUACAUAG